rnacentral:rRNA from 1 species
AACGAACGCUGGCGGCAGGCUUAACACAUGCAAGUCGAGCGCCCCGCAAGGGGAGCGGCAGACGGGUGUGUAACGCGGGGGAAUCUACCCAUCUCUACGGAAUAACGCAUGGAAACGUGUGCUAAUACCGUAUACGUCCUUCGGGAGAAAGAUUUAUCGGAGUUGGAUGAGCCCGCGUUGGAUUAGCUAGUUGGUGGGGUAAAGGCCUACUAAGGCGACGAUCCAUAGCUGGUCUGAGAGGAUGAUCAGCCACACUGGGACGGAGACACGGCCCAGACUCCUACGGGAGGCAGCAGUGGGGAAUAUUGGACAAUGGGCGCAAGCCUGAUCCAGCCAUGCCGCGUGAGUGAUGAAGGCCCUAGGGUCGUAAAGCUCUUUCACCGGUGAAGAUAAUGACGGUAACCGGAGAAGAAGCCCCGGCUAACUUCGUGCCAGCCGCCGCGGUAACAC